CCUACGGGUGGCAGCAGUGAGGAAUAUUGGUCAAUGGACGAAAGUCUGAACCAGCCAAGUAGCGUGAGGGAUGACGGCCCUAUGGGUUGUAAACUUCUUUUAUAUGGGAAUAAAAUGUUCCACGUGUGGGAGUUUGUAUGUACCAUAUGAAUAAGGAUCGGCUAACUCCGUGCCAGCAGCCGCGGUAAUACGGAGGAUCCGAGCGUUAUACGGAUUUAUUGGGUUUAAAGGGAGCGUAGGUGGAUUGUUAAGUCAGUUGUGAAAGUUUGCGGCUCAACCGUAAAAUUGCAGUUGAAACUGGCAGUCUUGAGUACAGUAGAGGUGGGCGGAAUUCGUGGUGUAGCGGUGAAAUGCUUAGAUAUCACGAAGAACUCCGAUUGCGAAGGCAGCUCACUGGACUGCAACUGACACUGAGGCUCGAAAGUGCGGGUAUCAAACAGGAUUAGAUACCCUAGUAGUC
rnacentral:rRNA from 1 species